rnacentral:lncRNA from 1 species
GGCUGGUUACCAAGGUUACCGCCGAGAGGCCGCGUCCUCAGCUGGUCCUAGACAUGCGUGGCGUCGGGGCUGUGGCACGGUCGGGUCCGGGGACACUUGUUUAACAAGACAUCUGCCCAUGUCCCUGGCCCAUCUCAUUGGCUGCAGCACAUCACAGUGGACCUUCUGCCUCCUCCCAGAUGCCCAGGGACAGUGAUCUGGAAGGAAGGGGCUUGAGGCUGUUUUCCUAGAACUCGACUUGAAUGCACCAAGGAAAGGCCAUUUGUGGGGACAUAGCAAGAAGGCAGCUGUCUGCAAGCCAGGAGGAGAACCCUCACCAGAAACCUCACAGAAAUCGGCCAACACCCUCAUCUCGGGCUUCCAGCUUCAGAACAACGAGAAAACAAAUUUCUGUUGUGUCCUGGUUCCCAUUUGUAAUUGGCACCCUAAUGAAACCGUUUUCUGUAGCCCUGGAAAUGGCUGAAAAUGAGGGGAGGGAAAUAAAGUGCUAUAAUUCAGAGCAUGGAGCACACCUUCCUGGUUCACCUGAGCUGGAUUCGGAGAGGUAAAAUGGCCAUUACCUCGUCUAAGCUGCCACUUACAGACACAGUACAGGAUGAGGCCCAGACCCACAGAGACAACGAUGAUGGCCACAGCUAAGAUGAUCCAGAAAUUAUUCCUCCACCAGCUCAUUGCAGUGGAAUCCUGAGAAGAAUGGAGAGAGAAGAAUGAGAGGGCAAAAGCAGAUGGCUACACCGAGAACUCACGCCAGCCCAACACACUUUGAUCUCGAGGCCUCUGGAAGGGAAGGUGCCUAAUGAACUACUGAAAGCCAGAGAUGCAAUGACAAAGCAGUCGUACCAGGGCCCCAGGCUGCAAUCCCCUGGCCCAGUGCUGAUCGGUGGCUCCCAGGGACACGCCCUGAUGCCAGCGCUGGCAGAUGUCUGCUGUGAAGAGAGCAGGAAACUGUCCCUUGGAAAGCUGAGAUGCUUACCUGAACUGUGAAAGUAUCCAUAUGUGAGCAGCUAAGGAGACAGCAGUGGCUGGAGUGCUGCAGCUCAGGCACAGCUGGGAAGCUCAUGACCCACGGCUGUCCAGAAGCCAGAAUCUUCUCACUGCCCCGUGUCGCUCCCGCAAGGCCUACCAGAGGACCCUCAUGGUGUGGUAGGGGGUCCUGGCAGGGGCCAGGGGCCAGGGUGGAGACUUGGCAGUGGGGGUGGGUUUGGUGUCCCCACAGACGAGUUUGCCGUGAGCAUUCCUGGAUGUGGCAACCUCAGUCUCAAGAAGAGCGACAGGACGCCAGCUCCCAUGCAGAGACAGAUCCAGGUAAGAAACCAGCUCAUGUGUGACAAACUCACCAUCUCACCAUGAAGGUGACUCUUGAAAGCUCCUGUGCACCUUGGAACUGCUGAGACAUCUUCUGCUUGGAGGAGGCAAGGGACAGGCUUCCUGUUUCUAAAGGCGUGUGAGUGGCGACCUUGAGAAAUGUGGCCAGUGGAGCAUUUUGACUGAGUUGGGUCCCCUCGUGCAAUACUGUGAGACAGAACUCCCAGCGAGGCCCACGGCCUCUGACCAUGGGGGUUGGAGUGGGGAAACCAAUUAGCCAUUUUGUUGAAUUGGCUGGUUCUGACUCAAAUGAGCAGUCACAUUAGUAAAAAUAGGCAAACGGAUGUGCAUUGUAUUUGCCCAGAGCGAAUGAGUUGUUAUCCAUUUCAGUAAUAAUGAUAACCAGAUAUGUCUGA